rfam:Rachicladosporium sp. CCFEE 5018 unplaced genomic scaffold Supercontig_24, whole genome shotgun sequence.
GAACAGAUGGCCGAGUGGUUAUGGCGUGUGACUCAAGCCCCUGGCUUCUCUGUAUACACAGAGCGCAUUCUCAUGGGCUUUGCCCGCGUGGGUUCGACUCCCACUCUGUUCA